rnacentral:rRNA from 1 species
AUACGGAGGAUCCGAGCGUUAUCCGGAUUUAUUGGGUUUAAAGGGUGCGCAGGCGGGGGAUUAAGUCGGCGGUGAAAUUUUGCAGCUCAACUGGAAAAGGGGCUUCGAAACUGGUUUCCUUGAGUGUAGAUGAAGUAGGGGGAAUUUGUGGUGUAGCGGGGAAAUGCAUAGAUAUCACGAGGAACUCCGAUUGCGCAGGCAGCUUACUAAACUACUACUGACGCUCAGGCACGAAGGCGUGGGGAUCAAACAGGAUUAGAUACCCUGGUAGUCCACGCAGUAAACGAUGAUUACUAGCUGUUUGCGAUACAAUGUAAGCGGCUGAGCGAAAGCGUUAAGUAAUCCACCUGGGGAGUACGUUCGCAAGAAUGAAACUCAAAGGAAUUGACGGGG